ACAUGGCUACAUGAGUCACUAAAAGAUCAAGGGAAAAGCAGUUUCAUGUUAAUGGAUGUUUUAGUUUUGCUUUUCUGCAAAAUGGUGUGGCAUCAGAAAUUCAUUUGUUCCAUUUUCCAAAAGCUGUUCUUUCUGACAAGCAUAAAAGAGACCGGUGGUGUAGUCUUAUCAAGAGGCAUGAUGGACGAGAUGGUUUUUCAUUAAAUAGUAACACUGUUAUUUGUGAAAAUCACUUCAGAAGUGAAGAUAUCACUAUCUCACUUGCAAGAAAGAGAUGGUCUUUGAAGCCUGAUGUGGAGCCAACAGUGUUUGAUUGGGCUAAUUUAAAGUUUAAGAGAAAAUCUCCAAGAAAAAGAUUACCCUAUGAAGUGAUGACACCAACUAGUACAGAUUCUGGAUAUGAUCAUGAAGUACAAUCUGAAACCCUUUACUGAUGUGAGCCAAUCCAAGACAAUGAGCUUGAUUCAAUGAAUGUUGAUGAAAACUUGAAAACAAAAGCCACACAGACAGAAUGGUUGGAUGAUCAAAAUGAUUUUAUAGCCCCUCAUGCUAAACACAACUAUAGCUUCACAAUGAAAAUGUUGGAGAAAAAUUUGACUAAUCUAGACAUUCAAGAAACAAUUGAACUAUUUAAAACAAAAAUUGAGUCUCUUAAUGAAAAAUUGCAUCUAAAAAUAUUUUUGAUUUGCAAGAGCAACUGGAAUACUUUGAGAAAAAAAAGAUUCAGUUUGGACAAACUAAAACAUGACAAUGAUGCAAUUGCAUUCUAUACUGGUUUUCCAAACUAUGGAACAUUUAUGGCCUGUUUUGAAUAUCUGGAAUCUAAGGCAUCAAGUAUUGGAGAGGAUAAAAUGACACAAUUGAUGAUUAUAAACAUUAUCAAACAAAGGUGGGCGACUUGGUCCAAGAAGAAAACUGACUCUACGAGAUGAAUUUUUUAUGACGCUCAUUCGUCUUAAAGUAGGAUUAUUUGUUAGAGACCUUGCUGAACGAUUUGAAAUUUCACAAAGUCAUUUUUCCAAAAUUUUCAUAACUUGGAUAAAUUUUUUGAACGUUGAAUUGCCCUUGAUAUUCCCAUUCCCUAGUCAAGAAAAGUGUUAAAUACAAUGCCAAAAUCAUUAAACUUGUACCCUACUACUAGGAUUAUCAUAGACUGUACGGAAGUGUUUGUGGAAAUUCCUUCUUCAAUGCUUGCACAAUCACAGACAUGGUCUACCUAUAAACACCAUAAUACUUAUAAAGUUUUAGUGGGCGUUAGUCCAACUGGUAAUGUUACCUUUGUUUCUGAAUUUUGGGGUGGAAGAGUUUCCGACAAAGAAAUCACUAAACAUAGUGGCUUACUUGAUUUACUUCAGCCAGGAGACAAUGUUAUGGCAGACAGAGGAUUUGAGAUUACUGACAUUCUGCCUGAAGGUGUUACUUUAAACAUUCCACCAUUUAAAGGGACUAACAAACAAUUAUCUGCUCAAAAUGUUGAAGAUACAAUUAGCAUAACUUCUGUGCGAAUCCAUGUAGAGAGGGCGAUUGGCCGAAUUAAGUUUAAGCAAUGUUGCAAGUCAGAUUUUUAGAGUUGUGUCAUUUUUAACAGGGUUUUACCGCCACUUGUUCCGCCAAAAUCUGACAGUGAUAUUGAUGAUGGAUGUAUAUGUAUGUCUGGUUCAUUUAAAGGAUUGCUUGUUCCCCCUUAAGACAUGUAUCCUGUACUUAGAUUUUUCAUUCAUCAUGUACAUGUACAUGUACUUGUACCAAAUAUAAAUAUAAAGACCUUGUAUACAA